AUGAUUGUGCGUCUAGUCCAUG
rnacentral:miRNA from 9 species